CAAGUAUAUCUCCUAAUAAACAAUUUUGAAUCAGCUAUGUAGAUUUUCAUGAAAUUUUAGUGAUGAUGUCAUUAAAGGUCAUCUCGAUGCAGCAUAGCUAUAAAGAAUUGUUUAUUUGUCCGAGAAUUGUUUAUUAUUAUUAAAGCUAUAUCUGAAAUAUACUUGUUAAAAUUUGUUUGGAUAUAACUUUUAAAUAUGCUUGUGGAUAGAUUUUUAAGACCAUUUUACAUUCUCUCACAAUAAUAAGCAGCAUACAGCGUAUAAGCAUUCGCUAUUGAUUACUAGGUAUGAAGGAAUUCAUAUUUUAAUAGGCAAAACCUUCAUUUUAUUGUUUAUCAUCAUCAGUCUGAACAAAGUAUAGAUCUUGUAAACUCAUCUUUUUGUAAUUUCAAUCAUGAUGAAAAUUCUUCAAGUUGUAUGUAUGUUCGAAACAGACUAUCAAUCUUAUCAGAAGACUCACUCGGAAAAGUCUUCGUCAGAGUCUCGUUCUUCAUUUGAAAACAUAUUCUUCCGUUGUUAAAGUAUAUUUAGAGGCAGGCUUUUUGUUUCAACAAUUUGGACGGCAGAUUACUCUUGUAAAUACAAAAAAAGAUCGUUUAUCCGAAAUACUCAGGAUCAAUUUUCGUAUAAACGAGAUUUUCGGAUAUUAGCUAUCUUGGCCUUUAAUUAGAAAAAUGAAUUGAAAAGGGGUUUUAAAGGGUCAUCAUACGAAAAAUACAAUUUGUGUAUACAUAUGUGAUUGAAAACUCUUUUAUCCAAUGCAAAUAAAGAAUUUUAAUUAAUGAACAAACCACUUGUCAUCUUUGAAUGCGAAUCAGCCAAAAACAUCUUCACCAAUUGAUCUACAACUGUUCCAUAUUUAGACGUUUUAUUGGUUGGAAUUUCGGAAAAACUAUCGCCUAUUGUACCGCUUUUCUAUACAGGUACUCUUCACUUAACGUCUGAGUUCCGUUCUUUCACAAUUUGGUCAUAGACGAAUUAGUCGUAAGCGAGUAACUUGUUUGUAUAUAUUUAGAACAAGUUGAGCGCUUCAAUUCUCAUGGCUGUGCAGAUAUUUAUAUCUGAAUUAUUCGUAAAAUAUUUUUUUUUUCGUCAGAUUUUUGGAAUUACAAGGGCGAGGAAUUGCAUGCAACAGAAGUCGUAAGCGACGCAUAUGGUCGAAAAAUAAAUUUUCUAUUAAAUAAUGCUUGGACGUAAGUUCAAGCAAUUCUUAAACAAGUAAGUCAUUAAAUGAAGAGUACCUAUAUAUCGUUUCCACUGUUGCAGAAAUUGUUCUAAGGUAACUAUGUUCGGAGACUGAUCGAUGAUCCGAAGAGCAGAUUUACCUUCCCAAAGGCUGCUUCUUUGUCUCAGAAUUCAUUCUUCAAAUGCUAAAAUUUGGAGCAGCCAUUUUGAUCAUCAACCUAAAAUACUUUAAAAUAUAAAGUUCAUUCACAUGUUUUUCUGUUUGAUUUUAUGCCGUUUUUCAGUAGUCGUCGAGGUAUCCCAUUGCUCAGAUAGGUCGCUUAAACGUAGUUGGUAUCAGCCGGCAGGAGAAGGAUGAGGUUAGGCCAUAUGUCUACUUAGUUUUUCUGGUACUGAAAAAUAUUUUUCAGUUAUUAAACUUUUGUUGGAGCAACAUUGAAGACAAUAACGCUCAUUUCUUGGUAUCUUCAAUUUAGAUUUGGAAUUUACCUGUCAAUGAAUUCCAUCCUAUAGUAUCUUUAUAUUAAUUACAUGGAACUACAACAAUUUCAAUAUUAUUAAAUACGAUUUUUAUUUCAUCUGUAGGAAUAUAUUUAGUGGAGAUAAUAAUUAUCUAUUGCCUUUCCGAUUUCAAUAUAGCUCAAUGUUCGGGAAAAUUUGUCAUUAGAGUUUGCAGUAAACCCUUUUUCCACUACAGUAUGCUAUUUGAUACAGUACCGUAUACUAUACCGAAAUUCAUAUGGCAAAGUGAUUGCGGUAGAAGUUACGAUAUAAGUUAUACUGUAUAUUGUCACAGAAUUACAGAUCACAGUCAAAUGAAAGAACUUUAUUUUCCUGGAAGAGAGUUCUACACGUCCGUCGGUUCACUCAUCGGAAUCCAACAUAAUAAAAAGAAGAAGGAAACCAACACACACAUCACUGUUGCCCGGUCUGAUCCUUCUAACCGGCGAACCAACUCCCCUUCUCUCUGGAUCCUUUGUUCUCGCCCCCAGGGGCAGUAAUGGCCUCGCGGCAUCCCUGAGAUGAUCUGCCAACGGAGAAUCGUCGUAUGUACAGUCUAUUCCAAAAUGUAUUGCAGGUUGCUCCUGGGAUGAUGAGAAACCGGGAUGUUGUUCGAUUGCAGCUCCAGGAAUAAUGACGAGUAGCGUAUUGAUGCAAAAUAGAAUCGUCCGUU
rnacentral:lncRNA from 1 species